CAUACAUGUAGACAGCAAAUUAAA
rnacentral:piRNA from 1 species